UACGUAGGGUGCAAGCGUUAAUCGGAAUUACUGGGCGUAAAGCGUGCGCAGGCGGUUGUGCAAGACCGAUGUGAAAUCCCCGGGCUCAACCUGGGAAUGGCAUUGGUGACUGCACGGCUAGAGUGUGUCAGAGGGGGUAGAAUUCCACGUGUAGCAGUGAAAUGCGUAGAGAUGUGGAGGAACACCGAUGGCGAAGGCAGCCCCCUGGGUCAAGAUUGACGCUCAUGCACGAAAGCGUGGGGAGCAAACAGG
rnacentral:rRNA from 1 species